ensembl:lncRNA
GCGUUAUUUAGAAGUACAUUCUCUUCACAUUUUCUGCUACAAUAACAAAAGAGUAAACACAGCCUAACUCAAACAGAGACAGCUUUCGGACAUUCAACAAAUAUGGAUACCACUGCACCAGUACAAGAGAAGAGUAUCAGGGCUGGGUGUUUGACUGAGGCACAGUACCAGUCUCUCAUCUCCUAGUUUCUGCUUCUUCAUCAUUGCUACUUUAUUGUUUCUCAGGGAUGAUGUGACCGCCAUCAGUAGCUCAUGCGCCAUAGUGGACAUCAAAAGAUGUUGGGGGAGUCCUUGGGAAGGUCUCCCUGAAGGUCAGUGUGCUAUUUACAUUUUCACUGCAGUGCUGUAAUGGCUCUAAACCUCACAGCUGGUUUCAAUCUCUGGCACUGAGCCUAGCUAAAGAGACAACUCCUAGCUCAGCCUCUCUUUCCAUGCAAGGCAGUGUCCCUUGCUUGAGGCAGUUCUUGUCAAGCCAUUCUUCCACCCUUGAAGUGAUCAAAGCUACUGCUGAUGGGUAUAAUUUGUAUAAUUUAGAAAUCUGCAUCAUUGUUCAGACAAAAGUUUUGGAACGUUUUUUGGGGAGGGCUGAGGAAAAAAAAAAAAGUUUUCCUUACUGUUGACCUCCUGGCUCAGAAUUGCUUCCAGAAGGACAGGGUGUUCUUUAGAUUGCUUUGUAGGAGCAGCAAUAUAUUUUGUUAAGGUCUGAGCUGACUCCCUGCAGCUUUGGACCAUUACUGAGUUCGAGCCAAUAAAGUGUGUGCCCUCUUUUCUUCGCCUGCAAGUCAAAUCCUGAUGUUGCUCAGUAGGGCAUCCAAGUAAUCCCUGAUUAAAUUAGAUUUCUCUGAGCAGAACAUUCAGGACAUAGCUGAUGACACAAGCCCAUGGACUGAGCAGUCAAAUACAGUAAAAUAUAAGCAGCAAACAAAGAACUGUCUCAAAGACUUCAGAGGUAAAAGGUUCUGUUAACAGUUUUAAUUUAUAAAUGCUCCACUAGUAACCAGGGAGAAUGGAUAUCAGGAGGAAAACAGUAUUAGAUAGAAUCGUUUGAGUCAGAAGGGACCCUUAAAGGCUAUCCUUUUUCUGUAACACCCUCUCAUUGCAUGUAUCCAGGACUGGUCCUACUAUCUUUACAUUUGGCAACCCAGGCAGGAGCACUGAAAUAUAAUAAAUAAACAAACCAACUCACCUGUAUCCAAAGAUCAAGGAUUGCAGGAAGACUCCACAAAGGGGAAAUCUCCAACAAGAGAUCCUUCUUCAGUGGCAGUCAGCCUUUAAAAUGAGGUCUAAGAAGGGUAAAGCCAGGGUCCACUUUUUUUGGUCACACAGGGCUGACUGGGUCUUUUCUCCAGGUGCUCAGUCAGUAGUGCAGGUUGUGACUCAGCAGUUCCCAUACAGGCAUCCUAUCCCUCAGGUGUGUUGGCCACACCACUCAGCUUGGUGUCAUCCACAAACUUGCUGAGGGUGAAAUUUAAUCAUAGAAUCACAGAAUGGAUUAGGUUGGAAGGGAUCUUAAAGCCCACCAGUUCCAACCCCUUGCCAUGGGCAGUGCCACCCAACAGGCUGCCCAUGGGCCCCAUCCAACCUGGCCUUGAGUGUCUCCAGGGAUGGAACACCCACAGCUUCUCUGUGCAACCUGUGCCAGUGCCUCAUCAUGCUCUGAGUAAAAAUACCCUUGCUUAAGAAGUGCUCUCAAUGAGCCUUUCUUUCCCACCAGUCUCCUAUGUGCCCUGUGCCAUGGGGAUGGCUGACAGCAGCACCCAGCCGGCUUGCUGCAGCUUGCUGUGCUCAUAAGCAGCAGUCGCUUGUGUUUAUGUUCCAAAUUCUUCCAUUGCUCAAUAUCCAAAUAUUUCACAAUGUAGAUCCAGUUUCAAAAGUUCAUUUAAAAGAGAAUUCUUGUUCCAAGCUGAGUUUCCUGUUGCAGCCUGAAUCCCAAAGCGGGUCAUGCACAGCAGUUGGCUCAUGACUUUCUGGAGAUGCUGUACUGAGAUUUUGUAAGCAGCAUAUAGUUGGAAAUGGUUGAAUAUGUUUCUGAUUUGAAUAAAUUAAAUCUAGCAGAUGCAAUUCACUCCAACAAGAAUACUCUUCACUCAUGGUUUCCAGAGCAUGUUGUGCAACUCUCUCUGGAGGAACCCAGGGACAAAUCUGUCUCUGCACAAGUGGAACUCCCCUGCACGUCUGUUGGAGUGAUGCCAACCAUAGACAAGCAUUUGAUCCUGGAGUCUGAUUCCUUGUGUAUGAGAACGUGAACUCUGAGUAGAAUAACAGAAAGCAGACUUCACUUUCAGCAGCUGCCGCACUGCCUGCCUUAUCCUCCCACUGCAUGUUUGAGCCUUUGGUGCAGUAAAAAUAUAGCACUUCAUUGCUGAGUGAACUUCUGCCUGGCUCGUCUGGUUU